rnacentral:rRNA from 1 species
UACGUAGGUGGCAAGCGUUGUCCGGAUUUACUGGGCGUAAAGAGCGCGCAGGCGGUCGUCCAAGUCGCGUGUGAAAGCCCCCGGCUCAACUGGGGAGGGUCACGCGAUACUGGUCGACUCGAAGGCAGGAGAGGGUAGUGGAAUUCCCGGUGUAGUGGUGAAAUGCGUAGAUAUCUGGAGGAACACCGGUGGCGAAGGCGGCAUCCUGGACCGGUAUUGACGCUGAGGCGCGAAAGCCAGGGGAGCAAACGGG